rnacentral:piRNA from 1 species
UCAGCUCAGUGCUUGUGUAGUUCUUCCGG